CCGAUUUUACCGUCAACCCCCAGUCUGCUGCCUCCCGUAGGAGUACUCCUACGGGAGGCAGCAGUGGGGAAUUUUGCACAAUGGGCGAAAGCCUGAUGCAGCAACGCCGCGUGGAGGAUGAAGGCCUUCGGGUCGUAAACUUCUUUCGACCGGGACGAUGAUGACGGUACCGGAUGAAGAAGCACCGGCUAACUCUGUGCCAGCAGCCGCGGUAAUACAGAGGGUGCUAGCGUUAAUCGGAAUUACUGGGCGUAAAGCGCACGUAGGUGGUUUUAUAAGUCGGAUGUGAAAGCCCCGGGCUUAACCUGGGAAUUGCAUCCGAGACUGUCUGACUCGAGUAUGCUAGAGGGAAGUGGAAUUCCAGGUGUAGCGGUGAAAUGCGUAGAGAUGCGGCGGAACACCGAUGGCGAAGGCAGCCCCCUGGGCUGAGAUUGACGCUCAGGCACGAAAGCGUGGGGAGCAAACAGGAUUAGAUACCCUGGUAGUCCACGCUGUAAACGAUGCGUGCUAGACGUUGGGGAGCCUAGCUCUUCGGUGUCGCAGCUAACGCGGUAAGCACACCGCCUGGGGAGUACGGCCGCAAGGUUAAAACUUAAAGGAAUUGACG
rnacentral:rRNA from 1 species